rnacentral:rRNA from 1 species
UACGAAGGGGGCUAGCGUUGCUCGGAAUCACUGGGCGUAAAGCGCACGUAGGCGGACUUCUUAAGUCAGGGGUGAAAUCCUGGAGCUCAACUCCAGAACUGCCUUUGAUACUGGAGUAUGAGUCGGGAGAGGUGAGUGGAACUGCGAGUGUAGAGGUGAAAAUUCGUAGAUAUUCGCAAGACACCAGUGGCGAAGGCGGCUCACUGGCCCGAUACUGACGCUGAGGUGGCGAAAAGCGUGGGGAGCAACAGGG